rnacentral:rRNA from 1 species
UACGGAGGGGGCUAGUGUUGUUCGGAAUUACUGGGCGUAAAGGGCGCGCAGGCGGCUUGGCAAGUCGAGUGUGAAAUCCCUUGGCUUAACUAAGGAAUGGCGCUCGAAACUACCUCGCUAGAGGACGGGAGAGGGAAGUGGAACUCUCGGUGUAGGGGUGAAAUCUGUAGAUAUCGAGAGGAACACCGGUGGCGAAGGCGGCUUCCUGGCCUGUUCUUGACGCUGAGGCGCGAAAGCUAGGGGAGCAAACGGG